UGGCUCAGUUGGUAGAGCAUGGCGCUUGCAACGCCAGAGUUGUGGGUUCGAUUCCCAC
rnacentral:tRNA from 1 species